rnacentral:misc_RNA from 1 species
CUGCCCUGCUUCCCCCUUCUCUUCUUCUCUGCUGCCGAUUCGAGUGCCGAGGGAGAUUCACCGUGACAGUCUUCUUGCCCCUCUCACCGUCCCACAAUGCUCCGUUUAACGCGUCUGGGACUUGGGGCGGCGCUGCUGCUUGUGCUCUUCGUCGUGUUAUCGGUGUCUGCUGAAGAGGGCACCGUCACCUACUACGGCCAGCUGCGUUUGCCGCCAACCUACCUGCGUCACCCCGACUGCUUCGAGGCUCUCAACGACAUCCAGCCGGGGAGCGUGCUGCUGUACAAUGGUCAGCACCGGUUUGUCGUACCCACCGCCCGCGACGGCUCCUUCAGCGUGUACAAGCUGCCGUACGGCACGUACAUCUUGCAGGCGGAGUACCACUACUUCAUGUUCCCGACCGUGCGCGUCGAGGUUAUGUACCGCGACACCGGCGACGACCAGAAAGAGACCUUCAUCCGCACCUCGGCGAAUGACUACCCCGUGCGCCACCUCGAGGGCAGCGGUCUCGACGAGGAGAGCCCUGCGGUGAUCCCCUUCUCUGGGUACCACAACUACUACAUUCCCCGCCAGCAGAUGGAUAUCGUGAGCCUUUUAAAAAGCCCCAUGGUGAUUAUGUUGCUCGUCUCGGUCUCGCUGAUGGGUCUCAUGAAGCUGUUUCCUGAGGAGGAGAUUCGUGAGUCGCAGAAGAUGACGCGCGAGUGGCAGAAGAAGUUGGUGAAAAGCGUGUCGACUGACAAGACGGGUGCCAAGCUACCAACCAUCACCAAGUAGAGGCACUAGAAAGGAUACGCGAGAGAGAUCCUACCGCCUGCUCUCUAGUUGUUUAGCCGUCGUGUGAGGUGAGUGGGGUGCGAGUUGCGUGCUCAGUAUGACGGCUCGUCGACGUGAGGCCGUGUUGAUCUUUCGCCCCACUUCUCGUGCUGGAUGGAUGCACUGCGUGCGUCUGUGCUGCAUAAGUCUGCGUGCGUGCGCGCUUGUGCUUGGCUGCAGGGGCGUCUCCUCCUUUCUCUCUGAGAGUCGCAGUGGUGCUCUGUCCUGUGCGCUCUGUCUCUCUCCUCUGUGCCCCCUUCAUCUCUCUGCGUGUGUGUGUGUGCAUAUCUGCAGCUCGGCAUGCUUGUCGCGCUCGCGCUCGCACUCACAUCCCUUGUUUCGCUCCGUCGCUGCGCAAGCGUGUUUGUAUUAACUCUCGUAUUCCUCAGCAAGAAGUGAAAGCGCUCAGUAAACCGAAUUUGGGGGUGCGGCAGGGCGGGUGGGGGAGGGAGGGAGCAUCGGUAUGCUUCCAGAAUCGGAUCGCAUGAGGGUACACGCGAACAGCUCCCCCGCCUUUGCUCCACCCCCUUCCCGUCUUUAUCGCUCUCUGCUGGCCGGGGUCAAGCUUUCGUUGUCCCUGCGUGUAGAAGGGGAAAGACGGAGGUGUGGGAGCUGGGGAGCAUGAUGGAAGAGGCUCACACACAGGAUGCGCACGCCGUGUCAUGGCGCGACUCUCGUGAAAGCUGGAAGAAGCGAUGCGUGUGCGUGCGCGCGUGCGCAGGGCACGGCCUGACACGAGGAAAGAAAGCGCGACGUGUGUAGCUGCGUCUCUUCAUCGCAUAUCCCCUCCUCCCCCUCACACGCGUAAGUGGGCGAGGAGAAGCGAGGGACCGCCUGCGCAAGAGGACGUGGACGGAAAACGGCUUUUCUUUUCCGCUCUUUUUCUCCCCCAAUCAUCAAACAACUAUCACAG